CUUGAGUAUUGUCUUAGAAGUACUUCCAAAUCCAUUUUGCACCUGUUUCAUGUCCUUGAGUUUCAAUUCUUCUCGCUUUAUUUGGUCUACUCUUCGUAUAACAGCAUCAACAAAAGUAUCUGUUUCAACCAUCGUUGUAUGGCUUGAUAGAUCAGAUCUUUCCUUGUCGAGCUGUUCAUAUAGAUUCAUGAUGUAGUUCUUUUGAACAAGG
rnacentral:misc_RNA from 1 species